rnacentral:lncRNA from 1 species
GACCCCUACUAUGGCUGGUGGCCUAUUUUCUAUUGACAGAAACUACUUUGAAGAGAUAGGAACUUACGAUGCAGGAAUGGAUAUCUGGGGUGGAGAGAAUCUUGAAAUGUCUUUUAGGAUCUGGCAAUGUGGAGGCUCUUUGGAGAUUGUGACUUGCUCUCAUGUCGGUCAUGUUUUUCGAAAGGCAACUCCAUACACCUUUCCUGGUGGCACUGGCCAUGUCAUUAACAAGAACAACAGAAGACUAGCAGAAGUUUGGAUGGAUGAAUUCAAAGAUUUCUUCUAUAUCAUAUCCCCAGUCUAGGACCACGAACCCCGGAACUGGUUUCACCCAUAACUAAGAUGGCUCAUCUACUAUUGAUUAAUCUAGAUGAUCAAUCUCUCCUUCCGGCAUGCCCUGAAACCCAUCUCCCAGGUGAUUCUAGACUUCAUCAAGUUGAUGACACUAACCAUCACAACAUGACGUUCUAUCUGUGCACCAUGAAGUUACAAAGGAUGCCAAGAGAAAAUUUAUUGUCAUGGAAAUAUUUAAUUGCCUUUGACACUUCUCCUUUUAUUUCUUCUAAUGAACAGUGAAUCAUUUUUUUAAAAAAUGCCAUUAUUUUUGCAGGUAGCUUAUUUCAGGUUAUUAUUCAUGUGGUUGGAGAUAUUUUUCUUGCUUGCAUGCUUUUGUUUUUUUCUUUUUGUCACAUGGUAGUCCUUUCCUUUAACAAUCAAUAAAUGGAGGUUAUCGGUCAUUCUAAAGCAUGCAUUCAUAACACCAUGUCUACUUUACUGUGAAAUUACACAAUGCUUUAUAUUUUGAACUAAUAUCUAUUUUUAAAAUAGUUUUUAAAAAUUUUCUUUCAGUUUACUGUUUAUGGCAAACAGUUGGAA